ensembl:lncRNA
UUCGCGGGAAAGAAGCGGACUUCCUGUUUGACUAGCAUGUGCAACUAGAGCUGGUGGGUCCACGAUUCAAAGAGAAAGUGCGAAAGCACGUCAUUUACGCGGGAACAUCUCCCGGCAGCUGCCAAUGUAACAACAGCGUUCUGCAGAAGAAAAUAGUCUUUACAAGUCGUACUAUGAAGAUGUUGGUAAAAACAUGGAAACAUACGUUUUUAACUUUAUUUUUUAGCACUAUACUGGACCUCCUUACGUUAGGCGAGGGCUUGCAGUGGAGUAAGAGAGGAAAACUUUAAAACGUAAGUAGCUCUUAUGAAAUAAACAGUGUUUUCCUCCAUUCUUAUCUUUGUAACAAAAAAGAAUGUACUUAGUCCUUAUGAAAACAUUUCAGUUGAGCAGUCCGGAUUAUUUAUAGUAUUUUAUUGGUUAUGUUCAAAGUUUAGAUUAUUAAACUGAAUACAAAUAUUCAGUUUGUUGGGUGUAUCACGUAUAAUGUUUCUUAAUCCGUCACAUUUGAAAAAUCGAUGUUGGUAAAUGGUAAAGAACAAUGGUAUAUUGUUAAUAUCUCGCAAAUGUUCGGUUUGCAGUCAAGCUACUCUCGAAUUAAUUUUGUUUCACGAUUUCGUUAUAUAUUAUGAGGCGCUCUUCGCUACAGUAGAGAGCGAGCUACAGUAGUAGACUCCUCGUGUCGUCACAGACAUGUCGAAGGGGGCGUUCCAUAACCGCGGGAAAUCCGAAUCCCUUCGUGUUGCGUUCUUAGACAAAAACAAAACACCGAACUUUAAACAACAAAUACGACUGGUAUUCACUAUGGAAAUCAGCAAAACAGAUACAAUAAUCGGAUUUUUAUGUCGGCUUCUAAGAACAGCCUGGAGAUUCAUGUGCUGCUGUGGACAUGAUAACUCUGACGUUCAGUUCUCAGUUGAGGAGACGGAGCCACCUCUUGGCGUCAGCACUGUGAGACCAUGGAAUUAUGCUGAAGGUGGAGGCAUUAUCAGGACAGUUUAG